UGCUUCAUAGCUCAGUUGGUUAGAGUUUGGUGCUGAUAACACCAAGGUUACAGGUUUGAUCCUGUUUGGGACAG